rnacentral:rRNA from 1 species
UCAGAGUGAACGCUGGCGGCGUGGAUAAGGCAUGCAAGUCGAGCGAUCCCCGCAAGGGGAUAGCGGCAAACGGGUGAGUAACGCGUAGGUAACCUACCCUAAAGCGUGGGAUAACCCAACGAAAGAUGGGCUAAUACCACAUGUGUUCACGAGGGGGCAUCUCCUUGUGAAGAAAGAUGGCCUCGACCGCAAGGUUGCUAUCGCUUUUGGAGGGACCUGCGUCCCAUCAGCUAGUUGGUAGGGUUACGGCCUGCCAAGGCUCUUGACGGGUAGCUAGCCUUAGAGGGUGGUUAGCCACACUGGGACUGAGACACUGCCCAGACUCCUACGGGAGGCUGCAGUCGAGAAUAUUUGGCAAUGGACGAAAGUCUGACCAUGCGACGCCGCGUGCGGGAUGAAGGCCUUCGGGUCGUAAACCGCUGUUACGAGGAACGAAGAUCUCAUCCGUGAACAAUGGAUGGGAAGUGACGGUACCUCGGAAGAAAGCCACGGCUAACUCCGUGCCAGCAGCCGCGGUAAUACGGAGGUGGCAAGCGUUACUCGGAUUUACUGGGCGUAAAGGGCACGUAGGCGGCCCAAUAAGCUCUGCCUCAAAUCCCCUCGCUCAACGAGGGAGUGUGGUAGAGGACUGCUGGGCUUGAGGGCUGGAGAGGUGAGCGGAAUUCCCGGUGUAAGGGUGAAAUCUGUAGAGAUCGGGAGGAACACCAGUGGCGAAAGCGGCUCACUGGCCAGCUUCUGACGCUGAGGUGCGAAAGCUAGGGGAGCAAACAGGAUUAGAUACCCUGGUAGUCCUAGCCGUAAACGAUGGACACUAGGUGUCGGCUCCGUUAGGGGUCGGUGCCGUAGCCAACGCGUUAAGUGUCCCGCCUGAGGAGUACGGC